UCCAUACCAAAACCUAGUCCUAAAGCAGAACUAGACUAGUCCUAAAGCUGUUCUAAAACACUUAAACAAUUGAAAUCAUUUUGCCUCUUCUCCAAAAGCAAGAAACCCUAUCGUUCCAUUUCAAAACCCCCAAAUUAGCUCAAACCAAAUUAGCUCAAACCCUAUCAACUUUCUUUUGCUCUCAUCGGUAAGGCUCUUCCCUUUCUCAUUUUACAUAUUUUCUUUUAGCUGCAUACAUAUACCUUGCUUUUUCCCAAUUAACUAAGAUUUUUCUUUUUCAGAUUAGCAGUUGUUUUGCAAAUCUAUUGUAUUCCUCCCUAUUAUCGAAUUUAUUUGUUUAUUUUAUUUCUAUUAGAUGAUUAACAUGAGUAAUUGACUGUUACUUAAAAAGAUAUUGAAACUUUUUUACUUAUAUUUUGAAUCAUUUGGUUAAAUAAUAUGGACUAUGUAAAAUUAAGAGUGAUGUAUUUCUUACAUUGAUGUAUUUCCAAGGAAUAUAAGUUUGAAGACAUGUUAGAGGAAGUCCAGAAAAUUGAGCAAGUUGAAGAAGGUAAUAAUUUAUAUUCAAUUGUUAAUGAGUAUAGUUAUUUUUUUAUAUUAUUUAAUAUUAAAUAUGUUAAUUGUUUCUUUUCUUUCAGAAUAUGCAGACUCGCCUUUGAGGAUUGAUUAGAGGGAUAGUUAACUACAAUUUGCUUCAUGACUAUUUUUGGAAUCUUUACUACUUUAAGGUAAUUAAUUAAAAGAAAGUUGGUGCAUGGUUUUUAAUCGAUUAAGAAGCUUUUGUAUUACAUUAUUUCUCUAAGGUUCAGUUGAUUUGACAAUUGGAG
rnacentral:lncRNA from 1 species